AGCGAACGCUGGCGGCAUGCUUAACACAUGCAAGUCGCGCGGGUGGUUUCGGCCAUCAGCGGCGGACGGGUGAGUAUCGCGUAGGAAUGUAUCCCGAGGUGGGGGACAACCCUGGGAAACUGGGGCUAAUACCGCAUGGGGCCUGUGGGUCAAAGCCUUAGGGCGCCUUGGGAGCAGCCUGCGUCCGAUUAGGUAGUUGGUGGGGUAAAGGCCUACCAAGCCUGCGAUCGGUAGCUGGUCUGAGAGGACGAUCAGCCACACUGGGACUGAGAUACGGCCCAGACUCCUACGGGAAGCAGCAGUGGGGAAUAUUGGACAAUGGGCGCAAGCCUGAUCCAGCAAUGCCGCGUGGGUGAAGAAGGUCUUCGGAUUGUAAAGCCCUUUCGGCGGGGACGAUGAUGACGGUACCCGCAGAAGAAGCCCCGGCUAACUUCGUG
rnacentral:rRNA from 1 species